GCAUAUCAAUAAGCGGAGGAAAAGAAACUAACAAGGAUUCCCCUAGUAACGGCGAGUGAAGAGGGAAAAGCCCAAAUUUGUAAUCUGGCUCUUUUAUAAGGGUCCGAGUUGUAAUUUUGAGAACUGUUUUCUGUGCUGGACCAUGUACAAGUCUGUUGAAAAACAGCAUCAUUGAGGGUGAUAAUCCCGUACGUGAUAUGGACUACCAGGGCAAUAUGAUACAGUCUCUAAGAGUCGAGUUGUUUGGGAAUGCAGCUCAAAGUGGGUGGUAAAUUCCAUCUAAGGCUAAAUAUAGGUGAGAGACCGAUAGCAAACAAGUACCGUGAGGGAAAGAUGAAAAGAACUUUGGAAAGAGAGUUAACAGUACGUGAAAUUGUUAAAAGGGAAACAUUUGAAGUUAGACUUGUUAUUGUUGGUUCAGCUUCUUUAUUGAGGUGUAUUCUGAUGAUUAACAGACCAGCAUCAAUUUUUGGGUGUUGGAUAAGGGUUUUGGGAAUGUGGCAGCUUCGGUUGUGUUAUAGACCAUUACUUUGAUACAAUGCUUAGGAUUGAGGAACGCAGCAAGCUUUGUUGCAGAUUUUUUCGGAAGUCUCCUUACUACGGAUGUUGGUGCAAUAGCUUUAAAUGACCCGUCUUGAAACACGGACC
rnacentral:rRNA from 1 species